rnacentral:ncRNA from 1 species
GAGAGCCGGAUGCGGGAAAACCGCACGUCCGGUUCGACGAGGGGGCGCUGAUGAGGCUCAAUACAUUACGACACGCAGUAGCUGCGUGCGGCGAGACGUUCUUGAAAGUCGUGAUGGUUUCGAAUUUUCAUCAGCGCUCUACUCUAC